GAUGAACGCUGGCGGCGUGCCUAAUACAUGCAAGUCGAGCGAACAGACGAGGAGCUUGCUCCUCUGACGUUAGCGGCGGACGGGUGAGUAACACGUGGAUAACCUACCUAUAAGACUGGGAUAACUUCGGGAAACCGGAGCUAAUACCGGAUAACAUGUUGAACCGCAUGGUUUAACAGUGAAAGACGGUCUUGCUGUCACUUAUAGAUGGAACCGCGCCGCAUUAGCUAGUUGGUAAGGUAACGGCUUACCAAGGCAACGAUGCGUAGCCGACCUGAGAGGGUGAUCGGCCACACUGGAACUGAGACACGGUCCAGACUCCUACGGGAGGCAGCAGUAGGGAAUCUUCCGCAAUGGGCGAAAGCCUGACGGAGCAACGCCGCGUGAGUGAAGAAGGUCUUCGGAUCGUAAAACUCUGUUAUUAGGGAAGAACAAAUGUGUAAGUAACUAUGCACGUCUUGACGGUACCUAAUCAGAAAGCCACGGCUAACUACGUG
rnacentral:rRNA from 1 species